GAGCUGUGAGGACAAACUUAGGACACCUUUGGAGGUUCCAAUGAAAGGAAAACAGUUAGCCUAACUGAGCUCA
rnacentral:snoRNA from 1 species